UUCCUUGUGGCUGAGUUGGUAAAGAAUCCGCCUGCAAUGCGGGUGACCUGGGUUCGAUCUCUGGGUUGGGAAG
rnacentral:tRNA from 1 species